rnacentral:misc_RNA from 1 species
CCUUAAAGAACCUGCCUUUGUAGUGCUCACACAGAUUGUCUGAUGAACGUAAAGAAGCAAGGCGUCUUGCGAUUGAGACUUCAGUGUCCCCUUCGUCUAGAGGCCCAGGACACCGCCCUUUCACGGCGGUAACAGGGGUUCGAAUCCCCUAGGGGACGCCACUUGCUGGUUCGUGAGUGAAAGACGCGUGCCGAACUAUCUCAAAACUCAUCUUCGGGUGACGUUUGAGAUAUUUGCUCUUUAAAAAUCUGGAUCAAGCUGAAAAUUGAAACGACACACAGUUAAUGUGUGUUCGAGUCUCUCAAAUUUUCGCAAUCAGAAGUGAAACAUCUUCGGGUUGUGA